rfam:Scytonema hofmannii PCC 7110 genomic scaffold Scaffold1, whole genome shotgun sequence.
GUUUCCGUCCCCGUGAGGGGAAGAAGAAUUAAAAC